rnacentral:rRNA from 1 species
UACAGAGGUCCCAAGCGUUGUUCGGAUUCACUGGGCGUAAAGGGUGCGUAGGUGGCCAGGUAAGUCAGUGGUGAAAUCUCCGAGCUUAACUCGGAAACUGCCAUUGAUACUAUCAAUCUUGAAUCAUCUGGAGGUAAGCGGAAUAUGUCAUGUAGCGGUGAAAUGCUUAGAUAUGACAUAGAACACCAAUUGCGAAGGCAGCUUACUACGGGUGUAUUGACACUGAGGCACGAAAGCUGGGGAUCAAACAGG